UACGUAGGGUGCGAGCGUUAAUCGGAAUUACUGGGCGUAAAGCGUGCGCAGGCGGUUUUGUAAGACAGAGGUGAAAUCCCCGGGCUCAACCUGGGAACUGCCUUUGUGACUGCAAGGCUGGAGUACGGCAGAGGGGGAUGGAAUUCCGCGUGUAGCAGUGAAAUGCGUAGAUAUGCGGAGGAACACCGAUGGCGAAGGCAAUCCCCUGGGCCUGUACUGACGCUCAUGCACGAAAGCGUGGGGAGCAAACAGG
rnacentral:rRNA from 1 species